rnacentral:rRNA from 1 species
AACGCUGGCGGCGUGCCUAACACAUGCAAGUCGAACGGAACUUCUUUAAAGGAUUCUUCGGAAUGAAUUUGAUUAAGUUUAGUGGCGGACGGGUGAGUAACGCGUGAGUAACCUGCCUCUAAGAGGGGAAUAACAUUCUGAAAAAGAAUGCUAAUACCGCAUAAUGUAUAUUUAUCGCAUGGUAGAUAUAUCAAAGAUUUAUCGCUUAGAGAUGGACUCGCGUCCGAUUAGUUAGUUGGUGAGGUAACGGCUCACCAAGACCGCGAUCGGUAGCCGGACUGAGAGGUUGAACGGCCACAUUGGGACUGAGACACGGCCCAGACUCCUACGGGAGGCAGCAGUGGGGGAUAUUGCGCAAUGGGGGAAACCCUGAUGCAGCGACGCCGCGUGAGCGAAGAAGUAUUUCGGUAUGUAAAGCUCUAUCAGCAGGGAAGAAGAAAUGACGGUACCUGACUAAGAAGCACCGGCUAAAUACGUG